rnacentral:rRNA from 1 species
UGGGGAAUUUUGGACAAUGGGCGCAAGCCUGAUCCAGCCAUGCCGCGUGCAGGAUGAAGGCCUUCGGGUUGUAAACUGCUUUUGUACGGAACGAAAAGGUGCCUUCUAAUAAAGGGCGCUCAUGACGGUACCGUAAGAAUAAGCACCGGCUAACUACGUGCCAGCAGCCGCGGUAAUACGUAGGGUGCGAGCGUUAAUCGGAAUUACUGGGCGUAAAGCGUGCGCAGGCGGUUUUGUAAGACAGAGGUGAAAUCCCCGGGCUCAACCUGGGAACUGCCUUUGUGACUGCAAAGCGGGAGUGCGGCAGAGGGGGAUGGAAUUCCGCGUGUAGCAGUGAAAUGCGUAGAUAUGCGGAGGAACACCGAUGGCGAAGGCAAUCCCCUGGGCCUGCACUGACGCUCAUGCACGAAAGCGUGGGGAGCAAACA